rnacentral:tRNA from 1 species
UAGCUCAGUUGGUAAAGAAUCUGCCUGCAGUGCAGAAGACCCAGGUUCAAUUCCUGG